AGUGCAUUGUGGGUAACUGAUACCCCAGGAAGCAGAGGUGAGGCGCAGGGCGCAGCGGCUGUGCUCAGAGAAGAGGUUGGGAAAGAGCAGGAAGAGGGCAUCCUGUCAGCUGGGCACUUCAUAAAGAAACGCCAUGGGGUCCUCUUCCAACGCUUCUCACGAAAAACUCACACAGAGCAGGAGCCAAGCAUCUGGCCACCCUUGAGUGCCGUGCUGCAGCCUGAGUCAGGAGCAGGUGGUGGCAUCCCGCAAGUGUCGGGAAGCAGAUAAAUACUAUGUGUUGACCCCUAUCCUCUGUCACAACCCGCUGCCCCCAGGAACAACGAGCUCUAAGGAGAAGAAUACUUAAACCGUUACGCAAAGAGGCAGACCCCAAGGCGGGAGGCACCAGGCAGAAUGUCUCCAGAACCCGCCUUAGCUCUUGGGGCUGCACCGUGCCGGUAUUGUUGACAUCGAUGAGCUGGAAGACUUUCCUGAUAGUCCUCAUGUUUCGGAAGAUCUGCAUAACGAACGGGAAGGGGAUUUGGAAAAGUCAAGAGGCCCGAUGGUAAAAACUCAAACGGCAACAAAACAUGGAGGAGCUUUUUUUUUUUUUUUUUUACUACUUCUUAUAAAAUAAAAUGUUUUCAAAGAUUCA